rnacentral:rRNA from 1 species
CAGUAGCCACGGUAAUACGGAGGGAGCUAGCGUUGUUCGGAGUUACUGGGCGUAAAGCGCACGUAGGCGGCUUUGUAAGUUAGAGGUGAAAGCCCGGGGCUCAACUCCGGAACUGCCUUUAAGGCUGCAUCGCUUGAAUCAUGGAGAGGCGGGUGGAAUUCCGAGUGUAGAGGUGAAAUUCGUAGAUAUUCGGAAGAACACCAGUGGCGAAGGCGGCCCGCUGGACAUGUAUUGACGCUGAGGUGCGAAAGCGUGGGGAGCAAACAGGAUUAGAUACCCCCGUAGUCCCUGUCUCUUAUAA